GUACUACUCCCUCCGUCCGGAAAUACUUGUCGUAGAAAUGGAUACAAAUGGAUGUAUGUAGAACUAAAAUACAUUUAGAUACAUCCAUUCUUUGGACAAGUAUUUUCAGACGAAGGAAGUACAUG
rnacentral:pre_miRNA from 1 species